rnacentral:tRNA from 1 species
UUGACUGAAACCAAAGAGAGGUAUAUUACUGUUAAUAAUACAAUUGAAUCAUAUUCCAGUUAAA